ACGCAAUAAAAGGCGCAGAAGAAGAAGCGUUUAAAUAGCGUUGCUGCUCACCUGAGGAGAUUCGGGUGUCAUGUUGCAGGCGAGAGUUGAGGUGCUACAAGCUGAUGACUUCCUGUGUAGGAAGUGAAUGAAGCAGUUGAACUUGUCUCCAGCGCUCCUGAUGCGUGAGAGGGAACAUCGCCAGCAGAAUGCACGCUCACUAAGCACCGUGUCACUGGCAUCUGUGCGACAUCUCCACGUCGGUACCCCUCGCUCAGCUCCGUGCCACAGCCUCGCCCGCUAACAGCGAUAUUCUCCUCAAACACCCCGGGUACGCAUGGGUACAGGCGAUCUUUAUACAAACAGAAGGUACUGGUGAUGUUUCUCAGUUUUGUAGAAACUGGUACUGGUUGUGUUUUAUAAAAACCCAAGAGUAAAUGGUUACAAGUGGUCUUUAAAAAUUAAAUAAAUAAAACCAAGCAGGUGGUACAGGAUGUUUGGAAACACCUGAGUGCGCACACAGGUACAGGUGAUCUUUGACACACGUGCAAACACACAAGUGCAGGUGAUUUUUCUACGCAGCUGAGAAUGCUUCAGGAUGCAGAAGGAUGCUGAGGAAUGCCACAGAACACACAGUGUCUCCAGCUCCUGUAACACACACACACACACUGGUGCAGUGGAAUGUAAUGUUCUGACGAGUGACGAGCUCCUCAUGUCUCCUAUCUCAGAGUUCAUGUCCAUUAAUCCCGGCCGUCUUCCACUCAGGUAGAUGGAUCAUCGUUUUCAUAAGCAGUGCCUUUGCUAAUUUAUUUGUAGCCUGUGGCAAUUACUAAGUUCAUAAUAUGGAGUAUUUUGGUAAGCCCACCUUUUACUCAGUUAAAGAGGAUUAUUCAAAAAUAAUAAUAAACCUUUAGAUGGAUGGGCUACAACAGCAGAAGGCCAGCAGAAGAUCAGGUUCUGUUCUGUGAGCCAAAGAGUCUGAGGCUACAGUGAACACAGGAUCCAAAACUGGACAGCUGAAGAUCAGGAGAAAGACCAGAUCACGUUAACAGGGCCGGUGAGUGUACCAGUACCAGUUUAUUAAUCAGUACAUUUUAUUUGUGUGUAUUUAGUUGUUUUUUUUUUUUUUUUUUUUUGAUUUGAUUCACUUUUUUGGCUUUGACGCAUGAUUAGUAAGCAUAGUUCACCACAAAAAGAUCAUUAAUGGUAGAUUUGGCAUCACAGUGAAUGUGGUCUGUCCCGCCGAAGAUCUUAACUUUCCGAUGCUUUCAGGAAACCAAGCCCAGAACAGCGAAAUGAUUGUCUUAAUCUCCUGAGGACUUUAUGCUCUUUUGGAGAUCUUAAUCUCUGUUUUUCACUCUUUUUCAGGUUUUGCUUUCAUUCUCUCACUCACGCGCACACACAUUACUCAGCCUUGCAUGUGUCUUGUACUUUUGACCUGCUGUCAGAGAAAGGAAAUAUUUUUGUAGGGUUAAGAGAUCUUCCUUUGGAUUAGUUGUAGUGACUAAUUUAACACACUUCAAAAGCCAAACCCCAGCAGGAUGCUGUAAAUGGCACAUAGAUAAUUGUUGCUCAAACAAGGAAAUGAAAGACAAUAAAAUAGAUAUAAAAUGCAAAAAAUUAUGGACAUAUGUAAAAAUAUAGUAAUAAUAAUCUAACAAUAUGCAAUCAAAUCCAUGCUCUAUGUAUGUGUGUUUUUAUUUUACAUUUAAAUUUUUUAUAUAUAUAUAUAUAUAUAUAUAUAUUACACACACAACUUAAUAGACAAAAUAGAGUAAGAGCACACCAAUAAAGUGAGAAGAGUAAACAAAAACCAAAAAUAAUAAAAUCAGUUUAUUAUUUUUACUCUUCACUCAUGUUGGCCAUUAUAUUAUUACUACUACAUUUAUAUAUUUUUGUUAUUGAAUAUUUUUUUUUUUUUUUUUUUUUUUUUAGCUGUUUGGCGUCCCUCAGACAGCAGGUGGUGCUGUUGCACCAUGCAGCUGUAAAGCUUUAUUGACUUUAUUGACCAUUUGGAUUUAACUGUUAGUUAGCUAUCCUUUCAAGGCUUUCUUGAUUUGCAGUCGAAUCCAUGGUCCUAUAAGCACAGGAGCUAAAGAACCCAUCCAUAAGAAACUAGUCACACGAGCUCUCCAGAGGCAAAUAUGUCCCUAUUUACACGCAAUGCCUAGUAAAUUAUGUUGUGUGUUGUGUCAAACUGAAAAACACGUCUCAAGCAGAACAAUGCUGUUUGUUUUAAGAUGUUUUUAGCAGGGGUUAAAAUCCAGCAUGUGUUCAGACGACAAGCCGACGGAUUUGAUCUAAAAUGGAUCAUGAGGUUUUGCACAAACUUGUGGAGUCCAUGCCAGCUCGAGUGCUCACGGUCAUUAAAGCAAGAAAGGGGAUGUACCAAAUAUUAAACCUCUGACAUUCAGCUGCUACCUUGAAGUUAGACACAGAACAUAACUUUUCAUGCUACCCACAAACUCGAAUGCACAAAGACGACUUCUGUCCUGAAGAUUAUUCUGUGUUUGAAAACUUAUAGCCUUACCUCUGUUACAAACUGCUGACACUGGAGACUCCUUCCAAAUAUGGUAAAUAUGUAUUAGUGUCUUAGUAUAACUUUUAUGUCUUCCAAGUAUUUUGCCUUAUUUUUAUACAGGUAGUUGAUCUUCUACCAUUUUUACUUUGUAGCAUUUGGAGAUUUGCCUUAAAUAAUUUAUUUAUACUUUUUAUUUGUCUCCUCACUGGAAAGCUCACCAUAUCAACAAUUCUGAUUUUUGUUGAAUAACAGCAUGGUUUGAUCUGUUUAGAACAUGUGAAGUGUCCACCAUUAAGUCCACAAUGUCUUCGAGAAGUGUAGCGUGAAAUAAUUUACCAUGAUAUUGAUAUUCACGUCAUGAUGUCAUCAUAUCGCCCAGCCCUGCCUGUGAUGUUCCUGAGAAACUGGGAAAGCCCGCUCUUCUGAAGAUUUUCCUGUGUUGAAAAAUGUACCAAAAGCACUGCUACUGGAGACUCCUUCCAUAAUUUCUCAAAUAAUGAUCAUAGGUUUUUCUUUUUUUAAAUAUUAGACUGAGAUUAUGUGGAACAUCUGCAAGUCCCUGUGUAUGUUGUUACUUCAGAAACAUUAAUGUAUUAAUGUGUGCAUUUAUUAUAAACAUGUCUAGCCUUGCAGCUGGCAUUACUGUCAGAGCUGCUGUUAUAGAAAAUUAUGAAACACUUUCUGACCAAUCAGAUUCGAGAAGUCAAUAGCCCUGUGGUGUAAUUUCCAUUAAUAUUUAUGUUGAAGCAAUAUAGCUAGUACAUUCCACAUGCAACGUUGGGAUAUAAUGCUGCAUUCAAAAUGCAUGAUCUUUUCACACGCUUUGAGUUUUAGGCUGAGUAAGUUGUGACAGGUCAAUUUUUCACGCGAUCUGAUUGGCCAAGCUGCCCCGCAGUCAAACAUGACGGGUUUGUGUUUACUUCAGGUUGACUAUUAAGUCGGAAUAAACUGAAAUAAGAAAACGGUCGUUACAUUAUUAGAGUUUUCCUGGUGUGCAGCGACUCAGACUGUAGCAGCGAUGCUGCACGACCUGUCACCAUCCUCUGAUCCUUUAGGGCUUUAGCUUUCGACAGGAAAAUACGCCGAGGCAAACACAAACCUGUCACAGCAAACAUUCAUGAUGGUAGUAACAAGUCUGAAAAAAUGUCAUCCUUACAAUUUAUUCUAACUGUUUAAUCAACAUCAACAAAAAAAAUUACUGGCACCCCAAGAAUUAUCUAUGGAAUAAAGAAUAAAUAUAGAAAAGAAUAAAUACUAAUCGUCAUCCUCAAAGUAAAAAAUUUUAAGCAGUUGAUGGUAUUAUGCGUUUGGUUUGUUCGUGUGUCUGGCGGCU